GUUUGAGCUGCGAAGGGUCACCGCCCCUUCACGGUGUAGCACCGGCUGGACAGGGGGCGUUUGUGGGGAGGGCUUCACCCGCGUUCGGAUUCCCAGCAAAACGGCAAGUGCGCGCGCCCGUGGGGCGACCGCGGGGUCCUUAGUGAGGAUGUCCUGUCGCUUCGGCCGCUUUCCGAGAGGAUGUGGUGGUGUGACCGGAAGACCUGCCUGGAAGCUUCCCCACUUUAUUCUCCGUCGUAGCACACUUCUUAGCCGUUUUCUCAAUUAAUAAUUACACAUUUGUUCAUUUGCCUGUUGAUUGGCUUCUCCACGCCCACCCCAGCCUCAGCUAUAAACUCUGCGAGGGCAGGAACUAUUUCAGUUUCACUUGCCACCACAUAAAAGGCGCACAGCACAGUGCCCGGCGGUGUCCACGUGUUUGAAUGAAUGAAUGAAGAAAUGAUGUAAAAAAGUUGUCAAGGGAGGCCAAAGAAGGCAGCAUGAUAGGAAUGGAAAAAUCUGAUUCCCCAUGCCCCUUAAAGAUUGAUAAGAAGAUCUUUAACCACUGAGUUUUUAAAAAAUAUGUCCUUUGGUUGAUGUUCAGAGUUUAAAUAAGUUUCAAAACAAAAAAACAACACUGCAAUUUCAGAUACUUUUCUUGUUCCCUAAACGUGCAAUGUUCUCUUUUGCUCAACACGUUGGCUUCCUCUGACCAAAGCUCUCACCCCUGUCCCAUCCCUUUAGCCUGGCCAACUUCUCCUUCCUCUUUAAGCAGCAAGUGACAUCACCCCUCCUGGAAACCUCCGACAGAGGAAACUGUUCCCUUUCCGCAUGCCCAGAACAACUCACAUGAUCCUCUGUAAAGGCGCUCAUCACGUUGUGCCAAACUCACCUUUAUACUCGUCAGUCUUCCUAGACCAGUGAUUCUCAAACUUCGGCAUGUGAGGGAAUCUUCUAGAACCGUGCUUCUCAAACUUUAAUGUGUGGGGAUCCUGUUAAGAUGCAGAUUAAGAUUCAGGAGGUCUGUGAUGGGGCCUCUGCACCUCUGAUGAGCUCCCAGGCGCUCCACCACAGUGGCAUCUUUCGCUGUUAGUCCUCAAGAUCUACCUCUCUCCUUUCAAGGGCCCCGUAGUGUUUCAUCGCACAACGAGGUAUGGCGUUAUCACUGUUGGUUCUUA
rnacentral:lncRNA from 1 species